GACAGCAGCAGCCGCGGGAAUACGAAGGGGGCUAGCGUUGUUCGGAAUUACUGGGCGUAAAGCGCACGUAGGCGGAUAUUUAAGUCAGGGGUGAAAUCCCGCAGCUCAACUGCGGAACUGCCUUUGAUACUGGGUAUCUUGAGUAUGGAAGAGGUUAGUGGAAUUGCGAAUGUAGAGGUGAAAUUCGUAGAUAUUCGCAGGAACACCAGUGGCGAAGGCAGCUAACUGGUCCAUAACUGACGCUGAGGUGCGAAAGCGUGGGGAGCAAACAGGAUUAGAUACUCGGGUAGUCCCUGUCUCUUAUAC
rnacentral:rRNA from 1 species